CGUCAUUUGUAAACAAAACCUGGCGGGAUAUCAUAGCAGAGACUGCUCAACAUAGACUCAUUCAUUUCCCGGCUAAUAUCAUUGUCUCCUUAGACAUUUACAUUACUCCACAUAGUGUGAUGCAGUGCCUACACGUUCUACAGUAGUAAUACCACCGCGGCACCGCCACAACGGUAGAGAGGGAUGACCUGAUGCCGCUAUCCCGACAUGGUAUACCUCCACCACAGCCUGUAACAGUGGCUGUUCAUCUUCACCCACACCUGAUUUCUUGAGAUGGAAAGACUGUAUGGAACUGGACAUUGGAGUCAAUUACACGGCUCAUUCUGGACCAAAGAAAUCAUGUGAUGGCACCAAACAGAUAUUCUACUGUCGAAGAUCAGGUGUUCAGUCAACGAAGAUUUCCAGUAAGAGUCGUGCAGAAAAGAGCCAAGGUACCUGUAAGAUGGGGUUUUACUGCACCUCAUCAAUUGAAGUUGUGAAGAAGGAUGAAAAGAUUUGUGUGACCUUUUACUCUGACCAUCGUGAUCACAACCUUGAUUUUAACAGCCAGGUUCACAUGACACUUCCCAAGAGUGAACAGGAUAAGAUUGCAGCUUGUGAUGAAAUCAUCAUAUCUGCAAAGCGUAUGAUUACACAAGGGAUCGAACAUGACAUAAUUUUGGACAGAGUGCGGGAGUCAGCAGGCAGUAAUCGAAUGUCUUUCUUAGAAAAGAAGGAUAUAGAUAAUAUUUGUGUUAGGUAUGGAUUGAAUAAAACCCACAGCAGACACUCUGAUGACAGCACAAGUGUACGAUUAAUUGUUAAAGAAAUGCAGGAUGCCAAUGAAGUCUUGUAUUUCAAAGAUCAAGGAGAUGUAGAUUCAGAUAAUCCUGAAAUACCAUCCAAAGAAUUUGUAUUAGGUUUUAUGAAAGGGGGACAAGAAUAAAUAUUUUCUACCCAGAUGAAAUCUUGUGACAAGAUACAGGUAUGCAUGGACUUGAUGAAGAAAAGAACUGGAAAACCUUUCAGAGAGAGACAUGAAAAAGGCAUGAAGCUCAAAGUUACUCAGGAGGAUCAUGGCCUUUUCACUGUGUCCUCUGAAUCUUUUGAAAAUAAGCUUUAUGAGAUACAGACAAAUAAUCCUACUUGUGAAGUAUGUAGGGAAAGGUGUCCAGACUGUCAUGUCUGUAAAUGCAUGUAUGUGUGCACAUGUGAUGACAGUGCUAAAGGUAUGAAGAACAUAUGUAAGCAUAUACAUGCAGUUGCAGAAUUUUUAAGAAAUAAGUCACAGAUAGCUAAACCAAAGUUGCCAACAGAAGAAAUUGAGAAGAUCCAUGAUGUUGUAAGUAAUGAGGAAAUAGCCAAACCUAAGGUGUCAACAGAAGAAAUUAAUAUGAUUCAUGAUGUAAGUAAUGAGGAAACCUAUGAUAGACAAGUUGUGAAAUACCAGGAACAAUUGAAAAACAAAAUUAUGUUACAGCUUCUCCCAAAAUGUAGUGAAAGUAAGGACCUUCAAGUUUUGAAAACUGCUAAUAGCUUGUUGUGUAAGUUAAUUGCAACAUUAGAUGCUGGCACGAGUUAUCCACCAAACAACAGUAACUGGCCUGUGGAUGUGACAACUGUUUCAGAGCCAGGUAAUAAAAAGUGUGUUAAGCAAGACCGGUUGUAUUCGACAAGGAAGAGAAAACGAGAAAAUAUAGGUAUGUGCUUAAAAAAGCCUAGUUCAAAAGCAAGAUUAAUAAUUGGGGAGAGUCUUGCAAAGUCUGAGUCUGAUGUAAGUGUUCCAGUACUAUCAGAAGGUAGAAUAGACGAUGAACAUAGUUAUUGAGGUAUUAAGGUCUAAGGUGUGAUCGAAAAAUGUGUCAAGUUAAAGGUGUACCUAUCUCAUGUCUUUCUACCAUAGUCCACAAAUUUUUCAGUAACCCUUUGUAUUAAAAGCAAUGCUAGUGUAUCAAGGUAAAAAAAAAAGUAGAUGCUUUUGUCUUAUGUAUUGAAUCCUAUGUCCACUGAGUGGUCUGUUUACUUUAAUGUUUGAGGAUUAUUAUAUUAACCAAAGCUGGGUAUACUUGUAUGUAGUAUGUAAUUCUGAUAUGUGUCUGAUUAUGCACAACUUACCUC